rnacentral:rRNA from 1 species
GUCUAUGGCCAUGCUACCCUGAACAUCUCAGAAACUAAGCAGGGUUGGGCCUGGUUAGCACUUGGAUGGAAGACCACCUAGGAAGACCAGGUGUAGGCA